AUCCUAAACCUUGUAUGAAGAAUCGUAACAACAACGCCUACAACAAGUUUGCUUCCAAACACGUUCUGAAGACGGUGUUUAACACUUCCUCGCCUCCUGCAUGGAAAAAGUACCUGGAAAAGUACAAACUCUGUGACAGACCUCAGCAGUCCUUCGUUGAUAAAGGAGCUCAAAAUCUUUAUGUGAAAAUCUGCAAUGGAUUUGGGAAACGUCUAAGGAUGAACUUGUGCACCAGUACCAGCCCAGUUCGGCUGCAUGAUCUCAAUGUCAGUACGAGUGAUUGCAGCAUUACUUAUCUUUAUAGCGGAGAUAAAUAUGUGACUGUCGCUUGUGACAAAGUCAACAACCGCUGCCUUCCUGUUCACUUUCAAAGCAUCCAAAACAGUGGGCCAAACAGCACAGCUCAGAUCUGUAAGCCAUAAACUAAUCUCUGGUUUGACUUUGGAAACGUCUCCCAGUUUUGGUAAAAAUGCUGUUUUGCUUUGCAGUAUCUCUGUAUCCAGCUUUAGUUCAGCCUUUUUCUGCUUUUAGUUUAGUUGAGUUUAUUUUAUAAACACAUCAGAAAUACCACAUGAUCAAUGAAAGAAAAUGUACAAUUUACAGUUUUCAAUAUUUCAGCGUUGAUGGUUUGAUUUUUAGACCUGAAAACUCAAAAACUAAUUUGUUUUGUAAAACAUCUGGGAGUUUUGGUUGUCAUUUUGAAUUGAGAAGUUUUUCUUUCUUACCUAAUUAGAGUUGCCAUUAAAUUAAGUUAUUAGUCCAUAUGUCCAGAACAUCAAGUCACCAUGACAACCAGCUAUUUACAUGGGGCAACAGAAACGUGACUUAAAUUUAUCUACGUCUCUGAAUCACAUAGAUCCUAUACAUGAGAAAUACUUGAUAUACUUUAGCAUCCCUGAUAAAUAUAUAUGAAGUAACAAUCAUGACAAUAAAAUUUUAUAUUUUACAGCCAAAAAAUUCAACAUUUUCUAAGUGCUGUGAACGACUUUUUGUGUUUAAAUGAUCAUUUUGCUAAAGAUGUUUCCAAAGCUGUGCAGCACGUUGCUUUGUUCUUUGCUUUGCUUUAAUAAAAGUUCAUAAUCAUU